UCUUACGGCCAUACCAGCCGAAGAACGCCCGGUCUCGUCUGAUCUCGGAAGUUUAGAAGGCUUGGGCCUGGUUAGGACUCGGAUGGGAGACUGCCUGAGAAUACCAGGUGCGGUAAGCU
ensembl:rRNA 5S_rRNA 5S ribosomal RNA